CCCUUGGAGUGUCAUAGCAAACAAAAGUAGCCGAGGCAAAAUUGGACACAUAGAAGGGGGAA
rnacentral:ncRNA from 1 species